rnacentral:rRNA from 1 species
GAUGAACGCUAGCGGCAGGCUUAAUUACAUGCAAGUCGAGGGGCAGCAGGUCUGUAGCAAUACAGAUGCUGGCGACCGGCAAACGGGUGCGGAACACGUACACAACCUUCCUUUAAGUGGGGAAUAGCCCGGGGAAACCCGGAUUAAUACCCCGUAACAUUAUGAAGUGGCAUCACUUUAUAAUUAUAGCUCCGGCGCUUAAUGAUGGGUGUGCGGCUGAUUAGAUAGUUGGCGGGGUAAUGGCCCACCAAGUCUGCGAUCAGUAACUGGUGUGAGAGCACGACCAGUCACACGGGCACUGAGACACGGGCCCGACUCCUACGGGAGGCAGCAGUAAGGAAUAUUGGUCAAUGGACGCAAGUCUGAACCAGCCAUGCCGCGUGGAGGAUGAAGGCCCUCUGGGUUGUAAACUUCUUUUAUUUUGGGACGAAAAAGGAUCUUUCCAGAUCAACUGACGGUACCAGAUGAAUAAAGCACCGGCUAACUCCGUGCCAGCAGCCGCC